rnacentral:rRNA from 1 species
UACGUAGGGGGCAAGCGUUGUCCGGAAUCAUUGGGCGUAAAGCGCGCGUAGGCGGCCCGGUAAGUCCGCUCUGAAAGUCCAGGGCUCAACCCUGGAAAGCGGGUGGAUACUGCCGGGCUAGAAUCCGGAAGAGGCGAGUGGAAUUCCUGGUGUAGCGGUGGAAUGCGCAGAUAUCAGGAAGAACACCUAUGGCGAAGGCAGCUCUCUGGGACGGUACUGACGCUGAGACGCGAAAGCGUGGGGAGCGAACAGG